GUGUGGGGAGGGGGUCCCUGGGUGCUUGUGUGGCUACGAGAGCCCCCGGCUCAUCUCCGUGCCUUGGACGGGCCCCCCGGCCCCGGGCUGUGUCCUGGGGGGGAUCAUUGUCCUCGUCCCUGUCCCGGGGGGGGGACAAUUGUCCCUGUCCCAGUCCUGGGGGGGAUCAUUGUCCUUGUCCCGGGUUGGGAUCAUUGUCCCUGUCCCAGGUUGGGAUCAUUGUCCCUGUCCCGGGUUGGGAUCAUUGUCCCUGUCCCCGGGCUGUGUCCCCACCCCGGAGUAAAGGGGGGUGGGCACUGUCCCGACCCCCGGGCUGAACUGCACAACCGUUUUUACACUUUUUUACCCCAGGAGCACAGCGGCCCCACCCCCGGCCUCGGGGCUCCCCCCACCUCAGCAGCGGCUGUUUUAACCUUUAAUAAAGCUUUUUGUAACAGA